AAAUUAUAUAAUUUUAUUACAUAAUUUGUAACUGCUUUUUAAAAAGCACUUAUAGGGGCUGGCCCCUUGGCCGAGUGGUUAAGUUCACGUGCUCCGCUGCAGGCGGCCCAGUGUUUCGUUGGUUCGAAUCCUGGGCGCGGAUGUGGCACUGCUCAUCAAACCACGCUGAGGCGGUGUCCCACAUGCCACAACUAGAGAGACCCACAACGAAGAAUAUACAACUAUGUACUGGGGGGCUUUGGGGAGAAAAAGGAAAAAAAUAAAAUCUUUAAAAAAAAACAACCCACUUAUAUUGUUGACAUCUUCCAUAUAAACAAACAUAGCUUCACGUUGUCAUCUUCAUAAACUGCAAAAUAUCCCAUAAUAUGGAUGUACCUUGAUUUAGUUAAUUUCCUACUGAUAAAUGUUUAGGUUGACAAAUUUUCACUAUUAUAAACAAUUCUGUGAUGACCUCUUAUACAUAUUUUUGGGCACAGAUCUUAUUAUUUACAUAGCAUAAAUUCCCCCAAAUUUCUGAGUCAAAGAAUAUAAAUUUUAGGGGAGGGUUGAAUAUAUUCUGCUGAUUGCUCUUCAGAAAGGACUAUAUGUGGUGACUUUCAGUGUUUUUUAACAGCAUGUCCUAGUUCUGAAUUUCAGUAAGGAGUCCUUGAUUACUAAUGUAACCUUGCUGUUCCUAACAUCUAGAUUAGAAAGGAUCUUUACAAAAAGUUUCGUACAGUAAUUUGAAUUUUUUUGCAGAGCCUUCUUCACUUUGUUUGAAAGUACUUGGUGAUCACAGUGUAUUAUUUACUACUUUGUGACUUUUGCAAGCUUCAGCUAACCACAAACAUGACUCUCCCUGACGUAUGUCUUUUUCAAUUCAGUGGCAAGUGCAUUUUCUCAAUUCUAUCGAACUGUGUCUUUCCAAACCUUCAGGAUUGCCAAGAUGAGUUAGGAAGAAACAGGAUCUGGAUCUGUUUCCUAUAAAAGUGUCAAUAUUUGCCAAAACAAAGAGCAGGGAGUACCCCCAAUGGAAUGCCAUCUGUCCUUGUCUUUGAGAGCGUGCUGGAAGAUCUUUUCACAGCCAAGAGAUGAUUAUUUGGCAUAACUGAUACUGAAAAUCAACAAGGUGGCUUACAGAUCAGAAACUGGCUGAUGUAAAGACAUACUUUGCUAUGUGAAAACUGGAAGUAUAGAAAUGUGUUUCGUUUUAGAAUCUAUAAACUAGGGAUUGUUUACUUUACCAAAGUAUUUCCCACAGGAACAUUUUAAUCAGCAGGAUCACCUGGUUGAUUUAAAUAUUCCGAUCAUUAACAAGUCAUUUUGUUGCACAGCCUUUUAAGAAAUGAGCAGCUGAUAAGAUGAGACAUAAUUCCCCUCUUAUGGUUCCAUUAUUUCAACCACACUGUUUCUUAAGCAGUUAAGCUCAUCACUUUCCUCUAUCACUUAUGGAAACUCAGUUUGGUUGCAGUUUUAGGGCGGAGGCAUAACGCACAAGGCCCAGCUUCUGAAGUAUGGUCAGUUGCCUGACCUGAGUUCCAAAGGGUGGUCUUAGCUGCCUGGUUUCUCCUUUGGAGAAUACCCAGAUUCCUUUGAACGGCAACCCACAGAGUAAUUCAAGAGAUCGUCUUGGGUAGCAGUGAAAUUCUUUAAAAUUCAUUUGGCAGGUUUCAGGCUCCAUUUCUCCUCCUACAGAGUAUUGCUCAGUGGGGUGUUUGCCACUCAGAACUUCUAAUCCGUCUGUGUAUUGUCCAGCUAGUGGCGUUUGCAGUCCACUUGGGGCAGACAGACAAUAAACAAAUAAUUUGUCAGGGAGUGAUAAAUGCUUAAAAAAAAAAUAAAGCAGGGGAAAAGGGAUAAAGAGGAAGAGAGAGGUGGUAUGUGUGUGGGUGCACACAUCUGUGUUACAGAAGAAGGUAGAUAGGGAAAGUCUGACCUGAAGCAGAUGAGGGAGAGAACCACAAAGUUAACUCAGGGAGAGAGUAUUCCAAGUAGCGAGAAUAGUAAGUUCAAAGGCCCUGAGGCAGGAGAGUACCAGCUGUGUUCAAAGAAUAGUGGGGAGGCCAGUGCAGCAGGAAGGGAGAGCAGCAUCAGGUGCCAAGUCAUGCUGGAUAUCACGGACCAUGGUGAGAAUUUGUAUUUUACUCUGAGUAGGAUGGGGAACUGCUAGAGGAUUUUGAAAAGAAAUUAACACAUGCAAAACACUUAACACACUGCAUACAGUAAGUACUCAAAAAAUGCUCACUUUUAUUUUACUUUCCUUGACUCUAAAGGUAAUCUCCAUUCUGCUUUAGAAGAAUAGUAUUUUCUUUUCUAAAUGUGGCAGAAAGGCUGGAAAGCAAAUGAAAAAUUCCUGGUCUUACAAUCUUUAGGUCCGAUUUUAGCAUUCUACAUCUCCACAGGUUUGAUUAUGAGAAAGUUACCCCAUGUUCAAGAUUUUAGGUCCUUCUUUUCCAUUCUGCUGCUCAGCAGUAUGUUUUUUUAAAAAACUUCUUGUUAUGGACAUUUUCAAAUUUAGUACGGAAGUAGAUGGGACACCCAGCCUCAGGCAAGUAUCUAUUCAUGGCUAAUCGUGUUUCCUCUAUACUGCCAUCUAUUUUCCACCCCUUCCUUACAAUGAAUUACUUUACGGUAAAUCCCAGACAUAGCUUUUUAUCCAUGGAUGCUUCAGUAUGUAUCUCUACACUCUUUCUUUACCAUAAUACCAUUAUCAUGCUUACAGAUUUAACGAUAAUAUCAUCAAAAAUCAAGUCAGUAAUUAGAUUUCCCUGGUUGUCUCAUUAAUGCUUUUUAAAAAUAGUUAAUUUGUUUCAAUCAGAAUCCAAACAUGGUCAUACUUUCCAUUUGGUUAAUAGGUCUUGUAAAUCUUUUAAAAUCUGUUCACCUUCCCUUUUUUUUUUUCCUUUUCUUUUCUUUGUUGGAGAAACCUGGUCAUUCGUUCCUUAGAUGUCCCUUGUUUUGGGUUUUGCUGAGUGCCUCCCUGUGGAGUUGUUGCAUGUGUUCGUUUUUCCUAUAAACUGGUGGUUAGUUCUAGAGACAUAAUCAAGUUGGAUUUUUUGGCAAGACUGCCUCAAACGAGGUGCUGUGAGCUUCCUGUUGCACCCCAUCAGGAGGCAUGUCCUGCCUAGCUGCUCUCUCUCCUCCAAUUUACCAUUUUAGCCAUAUUAAAGUGUACAAUUCAGUGACGUUUACUACAUUCACAAUGUUGUGCAACAUCACCACUCUCUAAUUCCAGAACUUUUCCAUCACCCCGAAAAGAAACCCUAUACCCCUUCAGUAGUCACUCCCUGUCUCCCCUCCUCCUAGUCCCUAGCAGCCACUAAUCUGCUUUUUGUCUUUAUAGAUUUUGCUAUUUUAGAUAUUUCCUAUAAACGGAAUCAUGUACUACGUAGCCUUUUGUGUUUGGCUUCUUUCACUUGGUGUAAUGUUUUCAAAGUUCAUCCAGGUUGGAACAUGUGUCAGUACUUCGUUCUUUUUUAUGACUGAAUAGUAUUUCAUUGCAGGCAUAUACCACAUUUUAUUUUACCCAUUCAUCAGUUGAUGGACAUUUUGGUUGUUUCCGUCUUCUGACUAGUGUGAAUAGUGAUGCUAUGAACAUUCAGGUACAAGUUUUUGCUUGAACACCUGUUUUGUAUUCUUUUGGGUGUACACCUAGGAGGACCUCCCUUUCAGUGAUGUUAUCAGUGGGUUCCCUUGGCGUCAGUCUCAUCCAUACAUGAUGAUGUUCCCUGUGGGCCUUUCAUCUAUGGAUUUUAGCACCAUUGCUGAUCACUGCCAAUUCCAGUAGGGUUUCAACAGCAUGGUUUUCAUGGAGGUCAAGGUGGUCUAACCAUUUUAUUUUCAAUUCACAUUAAAGCACCACUGGGCAACCACAUUUAUGCGAUUUUCUGAGGAGAAGAAAAAGAGAGAGGGAGGGAUUGGUGACCAAAAAGUGUGGGGGAAGCUGCAUACGAUGGAUCCCUCUUGCUGCAGAUUCCAGUGCCCACUCACAUAUUAAGGCCCCUGGGAAGUUCUGCAGAAAAGAAGACUGUUUAGCUUCGUUUAACUCUGUAUUCCCCAAGUUUAUUUGACUACAAACUUUUUUUCUUUAUAAUUCUUAUUAUUAUCCAUUCAAAUAUACUUUGGAGAAUACUGUUUUAGGGUCUAGGUUACUUAAAAGAACAUUACUUAUUAAUAUAUGCAUGUGUUUCUUUUUAAAAUUUUUUUUUAUUGAGGUAACAUUGGUUUAUAGCAUUGUAUAAAUUUCAGGUGUAUGUCAUUCUAUUUCACCUUCUGUAUAGACUGCAUUGUGUUCCUUACCAAAGUCUAGUUGCCAUUCAUCUCCGUACAAAUGUCCCCCUUUACCUCUUUCUCCCUCUUCCCACUCCCCCUUUCUGAGUGGUAACCAGCAGUCGAUUCUCUGUAUCUGUGUGUUUGUUUGUCUUCCACAUAUGAAUGAAAUCAUAUGGUAUUUGACUUUCUUCAUCUGACUUAUUUUGCUUAGCAUGAUACCCUCAAGGUCCAUCCAUGUUGUCACAAAUGUCAAGAUUUCAUCUUUUUCUUGUGACUGAGUAGUAGUCCAUUGCAUAUAUAUGGAUACCAAGUAUUCUUUAUCCAUCAUCCAUCAAUGGACACUUUAUUAGGUUGUUUCCAAGUCUUGGCUGUUGUAAAUAAUGCUGCAAUGAACCUAGAGGUGCAUAUAUCUUUUCAAAUUAGUAUUUUCAUGUUCUUUGGCUAAAUAUCCAGAAGUGGAAUAGCUAGAUCAUAUGGUAGUUCUAUUUUUAAUUUUUUUGAGGAAUCUUCGUACUGAUUUCCAUAGUAGCUGCACCUAUUUAUAAUCCCACCAGCCAUUAAUGAGGGUUCCCUUUUCUCUAUAUUCCCUCCAACAAUUGUUAUUUCUUGUCUUUUUAAUAAUAGUGAUUCUGAUAGGCAUGAGGUGAUAUCUCAUUGUGGUUUGAUUUGCAUUUCCAUAAUAAUUAUUGAUGUUGGACAUCUUUUCAUGUGCCUGUUGGCCAUCUGUAUAUCUUUGUAAAAAUGUCUGUUCAGAUCCUCCCAUUUUUUAAGCAGGUUGUUUGUUUUUUUGUUGUUGAGUUGUAUGAGUUCUUUAUAUAUUUUGGAUAUUAACCCCUUAUUGGAUACAUGAUUGGCAAAUAUUUUCUCCCAGUUGAUGGUUGUCUUUUCGUCUUGUUGAUAGUUUCCUUUGCCACGCAGAAGCUUUUUAAUUUGAUGAAGUCCCAUUUGUUUAUUUUUUCUUUUGUUUCCCUUGUCUGAGGAGACAUAUUAAAAAAUGUACUGCCAAGACUGAUGUCAGAGUACAUUGGCUGUGUUUUCUUCUAGGAGUUUUCUGGUUUCCAAUCUUACAUUUAAUCCCUUUUGAGUUAAUUUUUCUGUAUGGUGUAAGAUAGUGAUCUGCUUUCAUUCUUUUGUGUGUAGCUGUCCAGUUUUCCCAACACCGUUUAUUGAAGAGACUUUCCUUUCUCCAUUGUAUGUUCUUGGCUCCUUUGUCAAAAAUUGGCUAUCCAUAAAGGUGUGGGUUAUUUCUGGGGUCUCGGUUCUGUUCCAUUGAUCUAUGUGUCUGUUUUUCUGCAGUACCAUAUGCAUGUGUUUCUUAGCUGUCUGGCACCAACCUGACAGUCUCCUGAAGCUUAUAUUCACUUAGUGGCCAUAAACUGACUGUAUUCUUAUAAAAGCCCUGGGCAGCAGAAUUGGCAAUAUGUCUGGCAAAGCUUCACUUAGAAACUCUGAAUUGAGAUUAUGUCCCUGGGGAUGAAUGCUUGAGCCAACAAAGAAUAUGUCAGUUUUACUUGUCACCUCCAUCUUAUAGUGUUUGAUGGACAUUUGUGAUAAACCUUAGAGAAGUGCCGUAUGGAUGUGUACCCAAGGACGCCAGUGGUACUUAUAGUUCCUCUCUCUGCUCUUCAUUGCUUUACUCCACACAUCCUCCAAACCACAUCUAGGGUGGCUAUUCCACCUUAUGUUUCCCGGAUCAUACUGCUGAGGACUCUGUCUCACCACCUACACAGUCAGCGUGGUUAGAUGAGGCUAAACAUGGAGGUCAAAAUGGAGAGAGUAUCUGGCGGAUUCCUUGGUUGACUUUCCGAGGUCAGGGACCUGACAGUGCUCCUUUCAUAUGGCCUUUAGGAAGAAGAGUCCACUUGAAUAUGUUUCACUUACAUAAGUGACACAUGAAACUUGAUAAGUUUGCUUUUAAAAAGCUCUUAUGAGUCAGCUAGCUGUGCAGAGUGCUGACUGAGUGAUCUGCACCUUUGAGAUUGGAAGCAGAAGAUGGUGCCUGCCAGAUAGAUACUUUUGGUUUUUGUGAGGAGAAAGGUGGUGAGAUGCUACUAAGGCCAAACACGUGACUGCCUCCUUCUUAUGACAGUCUCCCGACAUGGUCUCAGGGCCGAGUCUAGGUACUGCCCCAAACCGUAUGUUCUGAGGGGAGAAGAGAUUCCACAAUAGAAAGAAGUUGCCUCAAGAAUGAGAGGACAACUUCAAACGUACUGUCAAUAAUUCAUCAAAUGACAGUGAGAAAGCACCUGGUUCAGGUCAUGCCGAGCAGCCAACAGAUCCUGGGCCAAGAACACCAACGGCAGAAGGAAGCACACCCGAGCCAACUUGCUCAUGAGCUGAAAUAUUCAAAUGUGGAUACAAGGCAGUUACCUAAUUCUUGCACCUGUUCUGAAUCAGCACGCACUGUAAUGUUGAACCAAGAUUUGACAUGAUGCCAGUGACGGCAGCAGAAGCAGAAAAUUUGCAGUGACACCACCCAAAUGGUGCCAGGGAAGGGACGAAGAGAACCCACUGGGCUCUGCCAUCAGCUGUGGAGGACUUUCCGAAGCCUUUCUCCUACUUGCAGGGAAGACUUGGGCCGAUGCCUGGCUUCCUUGGAGUAGCUUGCUAAAUAAAUUGGCAUGGACCCACAUUUAAAAAUUUGCCAGCUAAAGAUGUUUUAGGUGUGUCAGUGGGGUUUUGGUUUCAUGAUUGCUGCUAAGAAAGUUUGAGCAACUCACAUACAAUUUCACUGAUUUAAUUACUGCUUAGAAAGGAAAUUACCAGAUUUAGGAGCCUAGGAAAAGACAUCAGCAUCAUGCCUCACAUUUCUCAUGGUGUUCAAGCGAGAGUCAGUAUUGAUCAAAACUUUUCGUCUGCCUCCAGCGGUUUUAAAGUGACAUGUAAUUAGCUGACUUAUUUUGUGGUCCCUUCUUCAUGACUGUGUGUUGGACAGUAUCAAAAGACAUCUGCCUGUGGCUGUUUAUAGGAAUCUCGAAGCUCAGUGUCUUUUGGUCUUCUAUAAAAGGUAAUUGAAGAACUUUUGUUUGCAGAAUAUGGAAGUGCUUUAAAAUGCUUGUGGGAGAAAAUCUUGAAAGGAUGGUAGACCCAUUUAUAGGAGAGGUGGCAAACUGUGACCUGUCUGGACUUUAGAAAAAAAAUGUAUGCAUCUGUUUGAAGCAGCUUUUUAUAAGUGGAAUGCAUGACUUACUUUAUAAAUAGUAAAACCUAAGCCUUGGAAGCAGUUUUGAUUCUCCAGGGACCAUAACUUAUGUUAAAAGGGCGAAUAUGGUUCAUGAUAAGAUCUGAAUGGGUUAUGGAAUAAUUAGACAGAAAACCCAACUCAAAAUAAAUGUUGACUGAGGUUCUAAGACUGAGCAUCCCUCUGGCAGGUGGUGUGUCUACCAUGUGGAUGUAUUUGAACCACCAUCACAGAGUGGGAGAGGAUCUUAGCUGUCAUCUUCUCUACCUUCCCCAGCUUCCAGAUGGGAACCUUUGACCAUCUAGAUGGUUGAACAUGCCCAGGACCUCACAGGCAGCCUAUCUCAUGGGUGCCUGCCCAGAUCCCCUGUAGCCUCUAACCACUGUACAUGUUCUCUGGAACUUCCCAGAGUAAAUCCACUUCUAUAAGACAGAUUUUCUAAUAGCUAAAGUUAGGUCUCAUGUGUCCCUAACUCACCCUUUUCCUUUCUCAGACUGAUUCUGUGGAUCUGGAUCCUUCUGCAGUUGUUCACUUAAUCAAAGAGGAUGAACUUCCUAGAGAGAAGAGAACAGUGCUUUAGCCAAGCAAAGAGCAGUAGAUGUGCUUCUGAACUAGACUCUCCAAAGACCCCAUGAGCACUUUUCCAGGCCAGCACCCCAUCGCAUCCUGCUUUUCCUCCCUUUCAGUUUCAAGACCUUUUGGCAUCCUGGAGGUCUACCACCAGCUGGCAUCCGUUAGCCAGUGGUCUUAAAAGGGAUGCCUAGCAAAGGAAUGCAAUACGGCCGGUAUAGUCUGGUCAGAGCUCGCUUUUCUGGGCAGUAUACUUUUAGAUCGUUAAGUAAGUUGAGAGAUUCACCCACCUUCUUUGGGCUUUAAUUUAUUUCCUGAACAUCUUUUACAAAUUAUUAUUUUCAAGAUGUAAACUACAUAAAAUAGUACCACCACUUUGGAAAACAACUUGGCAUAGUAAAGUUCACCCAGCAAUUCCAUUUUUAGGUAUCUUCUCUACAGAAUCUCUUGCAUGUGUGUACCAGGAGACAUGUAAAAGAAUGUUCAUAGUAGCAUUGUCUGCAAUAACAACAAAAACAAACAAAUGAACAAAACAACUGGAAAUAUCCCAAAUGUCCCUUGACAGGAGAAUGAAUAAAUGAAUUGCUCAUGCAUUUUUUUAUUGUGGUAAAAUAUACAUAACAUAAAAAUUUACCAUUUUAACUAUUUUUAAGUGUACAGUUUUGUGGUAUUAAGUUUAUUCACAUUGUUGCGCAACUGUUACCACCAUCCAUCUCCAAAACUUUUUCAUCUUCUUCAACUGAAACUCUGUGCCCAUUAAACACUAACUCUCCAGUCCCUUCUCUACCCAGCCCCUGGCAACCGCUGUUCCACUUUCUGUCUCUGUUAAUUUGCCUGUUCUGUGUACCUCAUAUAAGUGGAAUCAUACAAUAUUUUUCCUUUUGUGACUAGCUUAUUUUACUUGUCUGACGUUUUCAAAGUUCAUCCAUGUUGUUGCAUGCAUCAGGAUUUUCUUCCUUUUUAAAGCUGAAUAAUAUUCUGUCGUUUAUAUAUACAUAUCGCAUUUUAUUUACCCAUUUGUUGAUGAAUGCUUGGAUUGCUUCGGCCUUUGGCUCUUGUGAAUAAUGCUGCUAUGAACGUGAGUGUAAAAAUAUUUGGUUAAGUCUCUGCUUUCACUUCUUUUGAGUAUGUACCCAGAAGUGGAAUUGCUGAUCAUAUGGUAACUCUGUUUUGAGGAAUCAUUCUAUGUACUGUUUUUCACAGUGGCUGCAUCUGUUCAUUCAUUCAUUCAUUUUUUUUUUUGUACUGCCUGUAAUAUUCUAUAGUAUAACUAUAAUGUAAUUUAUCAGAUAUUGCCAAACUUUUUUCUAAAGUGAUUUGUUGAUAUAUUUACCUACCAGUAGUGUAUGAAGAGUUCCUAGUAAUCUACAUCUUUACCAACACUGAGUUUUAUUGGGUUUCUUCAUUUUUGCCAAUUUAGUGGUUUUUCGGUGAUUAUCUUACCAUAGUCUUAAUUUUUAUUUCCCUGAUUACCAUUGCAAUUACUCAUAAUUUUAUAUGUUUGAAAGCUUUGUUUUUCACAUAGACAUCUUUAAUCCAUUAAGAAUUAAUUUUUGUGUAUGAUGUAUGAUAGGGGCCUAAUUUCAUUCCUUUCUACGUGGAUAACCAAGUAUAUGGGUUCCAUCUUUUUCCCAUUGCCAUUCAUCUCAUUUGUAAAGUUUCCAUGUAUGUUUGGUCCGCCUAUGAGCUCUCUAUCCGUUCACUUGGUUAAUUUGUCCACCUACAUUAAUGGCAUCUGUUUUCUUUACCAUGAGGUGAUAAUGAUGUAUUGAGACUGAUGCUGGGUUAAUUGGGCAUUUAUUGUCCAGUAUUGUAAUUGCACCUGGUUAUGGACUAGGUGGGGUUAGAGUUGGCCUGCUGGCUGACUAAAGUAUGGUCCGUGCAGUCAUGGGGCUCUCAGACACGUAUUUCAAUCCUGAUGAUGCAAGGUGAGAAGUGUGGUAAUAGAGGAAUGGCUGAAGUGCUAAUAAGAAGAAAUGAUCAAGGAAACAACUAAUUCCAGUAUGAAGGCAUCCAGGAGGGUAACAGUCAGGGAGGUUGACCAUUUCAAAUAGGAAGUAUAUGAUAUCAUGGUUGAGAGCCGAGUUCUAGAGGUAGACAAACUCAUAUUUGAAUGUGUGACCCUGACAAAUUCUUGAGACCUCACUGAGGCUCAGCUUCCGUAUCUAUUCAACAAGGGUAAUAAUAAUACCUCCCUCAGAAGGUUGUUGGGAAGAUAAAAACAGACCGUGUAUCAGGAGCACUUAGCCGAGUGCCUGACACAUUGGAAGUACUCAGUAAAUGUAAACCUAUUAAUUAAUUCAUUCAAUAAUAUUAACUGAGCACCCACUGUCUGCCAGACAUGGCAAAAGGCUAUAAAUGCAAGUAUGAGCAAAACAAAUGGUCUCUACCCUCACGUAGCUUUCAGUCAAGUGGGAUAGAUAGAUGCUCAUAAAAUCAUCACACAAAUAUAUCAUUAGAGACUUUGACGAGUACUAUAAAGGGAAAUUAUGGCCAACUAGGACAGAACAGAAGAGGGAAACCUGACUUAUGAUUAUUAUUUUUAUUAUCACGACUUCUGAGCUGGGACUUGAAGGAUGAGUGGUUUAUGGGCGUGGCAGGCAGGCAAGGUCAUUCUGGGCACACAGAACUUCAAAAGAGAGGGCAUGGAGAUGUGGAAGUUUUACAUCAGGUCAAGGGCAAGGGCCUGGGCACCCCUCACUUCCUGCCCACCUUUCCCAGAGGACAGGCAGGAGAAGGAGGUUGAGUGAUUACCUCUGGCCCCUAAACAUAUAUUGCGGCUCAAUGAACUCCCAUCUUUGGUCACUGUGAAAAGUUAUUCUCAGCGCCACUGACCAGCUCCUUGGCAAUAACAGACUGAAAAUGAAUAGUGAAAAUGGCUCAGGGGAGUUGGAUAACAAUGAAGUCUUUUUGACGUUAAUGCUGGUCAAAAAAGUAUCUAGCACCCGCUUCAGUUGGGCAUUCCAAAGCUCAAAGAUAAAAAGAAGUGCUCAGAGAAAAUAAAGUUAAAGCUUUUUCCGAGACAUCUGUGAGGCAUUUUUACAAGCUGAUGGUGAGUACUGUUUUCCAUUUAGAGUAGAUGUGGCAAAGCGUUAUAUUUGCAAGAAGGGAAAAAUAGAUGAUUGUGAGGGGUUUUUCUGGAACAAGUACAAUUCAGUAGCUCUCAAAUUGUAGUGUAUAUCAGAAUUCCCCCUGGAAGCCUGUUAAAAAUUUAGACUCCCUGGCCAUCCCCAAGACUCAGUAGGUGUUCCUGGGCCUAGGGCUCUGUAUUUUUAACUAGCUGCUAGAGGACACCCUUUGAAAAACCUUGCAGACUUAGUAUCUUUAACUCUUUCCUUUCUUUUAUCUUUGUUUGCAAAUUCUUUUAGAAGAGUCUCUGAACAGGCUUUCUUUUGCAUUCCCCCUUCCCUGACCUCACUGUCAGCUGGGGGUCCCAAGCACAAUUGCCUGGGCAGGUCUCAUGAAUGUGCGAAACUGGGAGGGUAGGAGAAUAGGAAUUAAGCUGGUUGGGCGGCCAGCCUAUCUGUCUAGUCACUCGGCUUUUCUAAACAUUGUGCAAGCCAAGAACACAUCCCUGAGAGCUUUUUGCAUCUCAGUGCUGCCUGUUGGCCACCCAACCACCCAUUCAAACAAUUGUGUAGAAGAUAAUGGUGCAGGUUCUGGACUCAGCCGACUUCAGCUGGAGUCCUAGCUCCACCACUUCCUAACAGGUAAUCUGACGAGUUCCUGAACCCCUUCAAGCCCUUCUCUUCUCAUUUGUAAGACUGGGCUUGGCUCAUCUGGCUUUUGCAAGGAUGUAAAAAGGUAAUACAUGAAUAUGUCAGGUACAGGGGCUAGCCAUUUGGGGACUUAGGUGAGUGAGAUUAAGUAGAGUGAACAGGUAAAAUUGAAGGGAUAUUUCUGUGCAUUGUCACAGACUGUGGAGAGCAACAGGCAGACAUCCAUCUCAUUGUCCAGCACACAGCCCCUCUCAUUCUGCCCUCUGUACUUUUUUGUCUAAUUGAGGUAUAAUUAACAUAUGACAUGAUAUUAGUUUCAGGUGUAUAACCUAAUGAUUCAAUAUUUGUAUAUAUUGCAAAAUGAUCACCACAAUAAAUCUAGUUAACAUCCGUCACCAUACAUAGUUACAGAAUUUUUUUUCUUGUUAUGAGAACUUUUAAGAUCUACUCUCUUAACAACUUUCAGAUAUGCAAUACAGUAUUAUUAACUAUAGUGGCCAUGCUGUCCAUUACAUCCCCAUGAUCUAUUUAUUUUAUAACUGGAAGUUUGUACCUUUUGAGCACCUUCACCCAUUUGCCCCCCGACCCAACCCUACCCCCACCUCUGGCAACUACCAAUCUAUGAGCUAGGUUUUUUUUAGCUUCCACAUAUAAGUGAGAUCAUAUGGUAUUUGUCUUUCUCUGUCUAACUUAUUUCACUCAGCAUAGUGCCCUCCAGGUCCAUCCAUGUUGUAGAAAGUGGUCAGAUUUCCUUCUUUUUUAUGGUUGAAUAAUAUUCCUCUGUAUAUAUACAGCACAUCUUCUUUGUCCAUUCAUCCAUCGAUGGGCACUUACAUUGCUUCCACUUCUUGGCUGUUGUGAAUAAUGCUGCAAUUAACAUGGGGGUGCAGAUAUCUUUUCAAAUUACUGUUUUUGUUUUCUUUGGAUAAGUACCCAGAAGUGGAAUUGCUGGAUCAUAUGGUAGUUCUACUUUUUAGUUUUUGAGGACCCGCCAUACUGUGCCCUCUGUACUUUUGCAGUUAUUUCUCUUCCGAUAAACUUCCAUUGUCUCCACACCCGUAUACAUUUAACCAAAUUAUUUUCAGAGCUCAACUGAAGUCCCACUUCUGGGAAACCUUUCGCUGUGGCAAUAACUUCAGCUCCCACUAAUGUUUCUUUCUCUAGUUUACUAUCGCGAUUUUCAUCCACAUCUGUACCAGUUAGGUUCCGAUUGCGUUCUGCCUUAUGGGUGUGUUUUGUCAUUUCAUCUAAAACAGACUCUUGGAGGUCUGGGUAGAUAUUUUGCUUCCAAUAACUGCAGGAAAAACCUAUAUAUGUGAAAGGGCGAUAUAAGUUAGCAUUGACCAACUUAAAGUAAUUUUUUUUUUUUGCUUCAUAAAGAGCCAAGGCUUUGAAUUUUCAUAUAAUUCUCACAUAUGAAUUCUCAUAUAAUUCUCAAAGAAUCAUGCAUUCUUUGUAUCCGAUUUAUUCAGUCAUGUAUUCCUGUGCAUUAUAAAUACAGAAGUAUGAGAAAUGCAUUAGCAACCUAGAUCUGCCUCUUUCUCCUCAGUACACACCAAACACACACACACACACACACACACACACACACACAAAGGAGGGGAAUUGAGGGCCAAGAUUAUAAUACGAUAUUGGUACUGGGCCGUUAAUCUCAGCAGUUCUCACCCCUGGCUGGUUUCCUCUCUCCUCUGAUGUGCAAACGUGCUGAUCAGGGAGGUGUAACCCUCACUUGCAACCCUUUCCUGGUUGGUGGUGGAUGGAUCUGGAGGCUGCUUGAGGCUGUCCUUGUCACUGCCCCCCUGUGGCUCCACUCUGAGAGGGAGGCUUCUCGCCCGGUUCUUUAAACAUUUUGAUUAGAGACUCUUCUCUUCCCACCCCAAACAGAGGAACACUCUCUCUGAGCAACAGUGUUCUCAGCCAGCAGUGGACAGUCUGCACUGAAUGUGCUCACAGCUUCCCAGGGGCUGGGCUGGGCUCAGGGUUGUGGUGGGACACACCCCUGUGCACUUGUCUUUACCUUCCUCUUUUGUCUUGAAAUAAAACACACAGCUUUCAAAUUUCCUGUACGUUAGUUUUUUCUCUUCUGGGGACACUCUCUCCAAAGGGCGGCUUUCAGGGCGCUUAACCUUGGGAUCUGGGGGCUAGAUUUUUGUUCUCCAACUCCCUUCCCUUUUCCACCUGGGAAGUGCACAGUCUUUCAGGCACUGCGACCUCUAGAGGCUGGUUAUGGCAUCCCAGUUAAAUCCAGUGAAAUUUCUCAUUACAUUUUUUUUUUUUAAGGAAGAUUAGCCCUGAGCUAACAUCUGCUGCCAAUCCUCCUCUUUUUUGCUGAGGAGGAUUGGCCCUGAGCUAACGUCUGUGCCCAUCUUCCUCUACUUUAUAUGUGGGACGCCUGCCACAGCAUGGCUUGCCAAGCAGUGCAUAGGUCCACACCUGGGAUCUGAAGCGGCGAACCCUGGGCUGCCGAAGUGGAACGUGUGCACUUAACUGCUGCACCACCAGGCCAGUUCCUCAUUACUUCUUGACCCCAAAUAAAAUACCCAAUGUAGGCAGCCUGUGGUGAAGUGGGUCAGGGAAAGGGGUGAACCUUGUUUGAAAGUUACUGUUUCUCUCAGAAGAAAAUUCUUGGCUUUAACUCCAACAACCAGUUUCUCUAGUACACCUUCAGGUGAAGUUGGACUGCCCUGUCAUGCAACUUUCUGAGACCCAAACCACCUAAUUUUCACAGUCUGGAUUCCUUGUUUGUAUUGAGAGAAUCUCUCCAUAGUUUGUCAAACCCUGAAGCUGGCUUGAUUUCUAGGCUGGCUUGAUUUUAUCCUUUAGAAAACAUCUUACUCAAUGGGGAAAAAAAAGCCAUGACAAUCUUUCACCCUCCGUGGAUAUGUCCUCAUAAACUCAUCCACUGGCAGCACAACUUUUUGUUGUGGUCCUCUGGUAGAUGAGUGAAAAGAACCUGAGGCUUUGCAAAGUUCUCAGGAGGAGGAAAUUGAGGAGGACCGGAGAUCUCCAGACCUGGCCUUUGCUGGAGAACAGGGGCAUUUCCCAGGACCAUUUCUCUGCAAAACGUGGCUCACAGCACUGCACUUCAGAGCCAGAGCCAAAGACCACGUGAAGUCGCCUGUCUCGAGGAGAGAAAAUGACCUGGUGUUUUUUAGUUAUGAGGUUGCUACUACUCACCUUGAGAGAGAAAUUCACAUUAGUUUAACCAACCCUAUGUGCUUCCAAUUCAAUUCAAAAAACCUGAUGUUGUCAAAUAGAAACACAGGCCUUUACUCAUUUCUCAAGUAGAAUGAAAUGAAAUUGAUUGUCUAUAAAAUAUUUAUCAGAUCUAGGCUAGUGUUUGAAUUAGAAUAUCUCCUGCAGGCCUUAAAAUGUCCUCUCUCUGCUUAUUUCAUUAUUGAUUGGGCAGACAAAAUUUUUACUUAAUGCGGUGACCAUAAUGUGUUUACGGGGAUUAAUUUACUCACUCUCAAGGAUUAAUUUAAUUCUUUUAUGUUAGUAUUUUCCUGGGACUUUUUUUUCCCCAAAGGGUUGCAUCCAAAUUUAUUAAGACUGUUAUAUGGUUCACAAUAAUUUGGGUGUAAGUGAAUAAUUUAUGCCUGUGUUUGCCAAGCCUGGCUGCCCAUCAGAAUUAUGUGGGGAGUGUCUAAAAAGUACAGAUUCCAGGGUGUCACCCCAGACUCAGUGAAGCAGAAUUGCUGAAGGUACGGCCUGGGAAUUCUUCCGUUUACAGAUGCUCCCCAGUGAUGCAGGUGCAGCAGCCAGGCCCCUCUUAGUGGACUCGGGUUUUGGGAACUGAUCAACAUAGUUUAGUCCUGCGUAAUUUUAAGGUUAACAUGUUAUUGUCAUUAAGUGUAGAAUUUUCUGUUGCUAACACCACAUGUCCUUAUUUCUUUGCAUCCUUCUGUCCACGAGAAUUACCCAAGGACCCCUUCUUAUAUGAGAAGUGAAUUUCAGAGGAGGAGGACAAGCCAUACGAGGUGAAGGUGGUUCCGAGUGCAGCUGUGUUGUCACUGCCAGUAGUCACUGUGGAUGGAGGAGCCAGCUGGAGCAAGCAGACCAGCCACCUGAUGAGGUCUCUCUCUCUCCUGCCGGUCUGGUCUAGACUAAGCUCUUUGGGUCAGCAUCGCUCCAUUUGACUGGGUCCCUGAAGGCCCUCAGGAAAGCCAGUGCCUGGCUUCCUUCCAUGGCAGCUCCGAGGGGAUACCUAUGAUGUUUUACAAAAGUCUUCACACUUCAGGAGUGGUCUUCAAGGUCCAUAUGGGACUAUUUAAUCACUGAACAAAGGCAAGUUUCCACUUAACCCCUGGGCGUUUUUCAUUUGUCUAUUUCAAUCAUGAUACUUUGGAGCAGUGACCAGAUUCAGAUCAGUUUUGGUUCUUACAUUGGACAUUGUUUUGGUCUGACCAGCCUCCCUCUCCCUGCCCUUUGCCAACAGCUGCCAGACUCUCCUUCGGGGGAACGACCCUAUUCCAUGGCACACAGUCUUGAUGAAACUGUCAAUCAGGGAGGGGGCGAGAUCUGAGACCCAAGCUUAGCCAAUCAGAUUCUUCUGGGGAUCUGAAUCACGAGUGGAAUUAACAUCAGGUCAGAGAAAAAAUGCACGCCCAGUGAGGCACCGCUAAUUCCUGCUUCUUGGAGUAGCAUACUGAGAAGGUGUAGCCUUUGGUGUACGGGCUGUGGGGCCAGAUUGUUUGGGUUAGAAACACACUUUCUAUAUGAGACCUGGAGGAAGCUAGUUAACCUCAUGCCUCGGUUUCCUCAGAUUGUGAAAGGGGAUAAUAGUACUUCUCUCAUAGGGUUGUUGUUCGCAUCGCAUAAAUCAGUGCAUGGGUCUCAGGAGGAACACUUGUGAGGACACAGGAACCACUCUGAGUAUUUGAAGCAGAAAAGGAAUUUGAUGCAUGGAUUAGGAACAUAAAAAUCAGUGAAAGGCUGGAGAAGCAGGCUCCAGGCUGCAGGACUGGCUUCUGGAACACACUUCCAAACUGGCCUGCCAGGGGCGCUGUCUCUUCUGCCACCAUCAGGAAAGUGGACCAUCACAGGGACUUCAAGAACACAGUGCCACAGCUGUGACCCAGGGAGCAGGAAGGCACUUGGCUGCUCCUGUGACCACCUCUCAUCACUCAAGAAGCUGAGGACUGGACAGUGGAUGGUACUCUAUCCAAGAGCAUCAAGAUCACCAAGUGGCCUGGUGACUUGGGCAGUGCAAUCACAUAUGCUGUUGAGACUUCGACGGAGCCAAAGGAGAGGCAUCUGGACUGCAGCAACAUGAGUCUGACCGGGAGGAGAGAAGGAGGAUGAGGAAGCUAAUCCUGAUAGAGAUCCCACAGUCAGGUGUCCGCUGUGGGAGAGAGUGGGGGAACUCACCUGCCCUGCAGAAGGGGGUGUGUGGGUGUGGGUGGGGUGAGCUGAGCAAUGUGUUGGGCUCACAGACUGAAAAAUGAGCUGUGACUCAGGCUUCCAUUCAUACCAGGAGAUCUGACCUAAUAGCAGAACCCAUCACCAGAAUCUAGGCACUGGGAAUGUUCAGGAGCUCAGUGAGCAGAGAGUUCAGGGGUCCGCACACAGCAGGACCUCCCUAGUGAGGAGGGGGUGCUAGAGUGUGAGGAGAGGGACAUGUGAGGAGCAGGAGGACUUGCAGAGCUAAGCUGGGUCUCAGAGCCCCUUCUUCCUGUAAGUCACCACUGGGAUUGAGGCUGGAUACCAGUUACCCUGAGCAGAAACCACUAAACCAGCAUUUCUUUCACUGGAAUAGACUCCAGGCCUUUUUCGUUUGUUUAAUCAGAAGGAAAUUCUAUGUUAACUAGACUUUUUGUGGUGAUCAUUUCGCAAUGUAUACAAAUAUUGAAUCAUUAUGUUGUAUACCUGAAACCAAUAUAAUGUUACAUGUCAAUUAUACCUCAAUAAUAAAAAAAUAAAAUUCUCACAAGCUGAAUAUUGGAUUAAUGGGUUUUAUUGUCGCUACUUAAGU
ensembl:lncRNA